rnacentral:rRNA from 1 species
AUGCUGGAGCAGCGGGAGGAGGAGGCCAAGGUGGAGAUCGUGGUGCGGGAGGGGGAGCUCGGCGAGACGGCGUCUGGAUCUGAAGCGCGGCUGCUCCACCUUCCUCAGGUUGGCGGGGACCUCCGGAUCGCUGCAGAGGGGAAGGGCCCGACCUCCGGCGGCCUCUGCGGGCAGAAGGGGAACUGCGUCGGCGACGUCGUCGGCGUCGGCGUCCCAGGGACAGGGCACGGCGGCACGCACUGCGGGCCCAUGCACAUGCACACCGUGCCGUUGCCGCCGUCCGCCAGCGCGCCGCUGGCCGACAGGAGCAGCCACAGCCACACGGCCACGACGAGCAGGACCGCCGGCGACGGGUUCGUGCAGUCCCGCGAGGACCGCGCCGUGUGGGAUGCCGAGACGACGUUGCCGGAGAAGGAAUCUCCGACUACCUCACGCCCGCCGCUGGCCUGCACAUCACUGAUACAAUUGAUAUGCCAAUUGUGUUGUGUUAUCUUCCAUAUGCAAAUGAAGACACCAUACUGUCAGGUUUCUUUCAAGCUCAGGUGGUGUGGUAUCUGCUCGUGUGAAGACAUCUGUGUGCGGCUGCAGAGAGUGGUAUUCUAG